rnacentral:misc_RNA from 1 species
GAUGAAGAACGCAGUGAAAUGCGAUAAGUAAUGUGAAUUGCAGAAUUCAGUGAAUCAUCGAAUCUUUGAACGCACAUUGCGCCCCCUGGUAUUCCGGGGGGCAUGCCUGUCCGAGCGUCAUUACAACCCUCAAGCUCAGCUUGGUGUUGGGCCCCGCCGCCCCGGCGGGCCCUAAAGUCAGUGGCGGUGCCGUCCGGCUCCGAGCGUAGUAAUUCUUCUCGCUCUGGAGGUCCGGUCGUGUGCUCGCCAGCAACCCCCAAUUUUUUUCAGGUUGACCUCGGAUCAGGUAGGGAUACCCGCUGAACUUAAGCAUAUCAAUAAGCGGAGG